CGCGGGAUAGAGCAGUUUGGUAGCUCGUCGGGCUCAUAACCCGGAGGUCGUAGGUUCAAAUCCUGCUCCCGCAA
rfam:Finegoldia magna ATCC 29328 DNA, complete genome.